UUCCUUGCUUUGACAGUUGCCAUACUUGAAAAUAUUUGUCCAUUAAUUACAUGUGUAUUAGCUUAGGGUUUAUUUUUAUUAGAAUCUCAUGUCAUAUAAUUCAUGAUGUUUGUGGGUAACAUCCCUGAAAAUCCUCACGAGAUAACACUCGUCCACUAGGGUAACCUAGGGGUUUAAUGGCUUGUUGCACGUGCUAAGUGCAAUGUGAUUCCUACGAAAGUGAGUACUUAUCUUAAUUUUAUGCAAUUAGUUCUAAUAAAACAUCAUAGGUUAGACCACACCUUUUGCACUCUCAUUUUAGUAUUUACUCGUUAAUUGCUAGAGACUAGCAAUAAGCUAGUUGGGGGGUGUGAUGAGAGCACAAAAGUGCGAUCUAUACAUCCCUUAAAUUAGUAUUAUUGCUAACAAAAAAAUGAUAAAAAUGCUGCAUUAAUAUUAUAUUUUUGUAGGGUGCAGGUGAUCGUAAAUCAAAGUUAAAUUUCGCAUCGGGUCCAAAAAUAUGCAUCACCACAGGUGACCAGCCAACCACAUGGGGUCAGUCCUAGUUGCACACUAGAAGGAGCAUUAGCCGACUAGGUGCAGCCACAUCUAGCGUGCA
rnacentral:lncRNA from 1 species